UACGGAGAAUCCGAGCGUUAUCCGGAUUUAUUGGGUUUAAAGGGUGCGUAGGCGGUUUGAUAAGUUAGAGGUGAAAUGUCGGGGCUCAACCCCGAAACUGCCUCUAAUACUGUUGGACUAGAGAAUAGUUGCGGUAGGCGGAAUGUAUGGUGUAGCGGUGAAAUGCUUAGAGAUCAUACAGAACACCGAUUGCGAAGGCAGCUUACCAAACUAUAUCUGACGUUGAGGCACGAAAGCGUGGGUAGCAAACAGG
rnacentral:rRNA from 1 species